rnacentral:rRNA from 1 species
CUGCAACUCGACCCCAUGAAGUCGGAGUCGCUAGUAAUCGCAGAUCAGCAACGCUGCGGUGAAUACGUUCCCGGGCCUUGUACACACCGCCCGUCAAGUCACGAAAGUUGGUAACACCCGAAGCCGAUGGCCUAACCCGUUUGGGAGGGAGUCGUCGAAGGUGGGAUUGGCGAUUGGGGCUAAGUCGUAACAAGGUACC